GCGAAGCAUGAUUCAGAGGUUUGACGAUGAUUUUUUUUUGUAUGUUUAUUAUUAACUGGAGGCCUUUUUGGAAUAGACAAGUCAAAAAUAUUUCGGAAUUUUCGGAAACAUUUAUAGAGUCCAGACCACAUGCAUAUCUUUUUUCUUUAUCUGCACUAACAUUUUUCAAGAAUGCUAUCUACACUAACAUUGAACUUGAAAAUCCCAAUAGUACUCCUACCUUUUUUGAAGUCCUCACUUUAUUAUUCACAGUAUAUUCUGAAAAGAGAUCAAAUUGAUGUUCUUUGAGCAAGCAGAAGCAUUUGCUUUCCGCCUGAGUGAGAGAUCACCGGGGAGCGAGCAGCUCGGGGGAGGAUAGCAGAAUUUUACUCAUGACGCCGUAGACGAGCCAUGCUUCCGUCCUUGCUCAAGCUGUCUCUCUCUCCUCGGGAGAUCACCGGCGGUGGCCUGACCGCGGCCAGGAUGACGACGGCGACGCCAUCAACGGCACCCCAACCUGCAGCCCACUAACCGCUAUCCAUAUCAACAGUACACUAGUAGAGUGCGCGCGACCUGUUCGACGAAUUGCCUGGCAGAAGAGCACUCGUGACCUUUGCCGUACCAUCAUGCUCGCAUGCGUGCGCUGAUCCCUUUAUUCUCUGCCACUUCUUUCUUUGUAAAAAGGAACACGAGAGUCAUGAAAAGAAGACUGUUGCUGUCCAGUUUGUGGAGCCGGUACAUAUCAGGCAGCGGUGUUGCUGCAUUUGUUUCAUUGUGAACACCUGAAGCCACCAUCCAUUCUCCUCCUUCGUCGGACAUCAGCAACUUCUUCAGUCCAUCUUCUCAUGAUCUCAUCGCAAGACUGCAAGAGACGUAAGGAAUGGCAGCGGUAAGCGCUGCAACGGGGUGAUGAGCUCUCUCCUGAGUAAGCUCUCCGCCUUUCUUGGCGACCAGUACAAGCUUCUCAAAGGAGUUCGCAAGGAGGUCGGAUUCCUUAAGCGUGGCUCAGUAGUCAGUACCAUGAACGCCUUGCUGGUCACACUGGGGAGCAUGGACAAGCUUGAUCCCCUUGCCAAGGACUGGAGGAACAAGGUGAGGGAUCUGAGCUACGACAUUGAGGACUGCAUUGACCUCUUCAUGCAACGCUUGGCUCGUGGUGAUGCCAAAACCAGAUUCAUGAGGAAUACUGUGCGUCAGCUCAAGACAGGAAUACUGUGCGUCAGCUCAAGGCGCUAUGGGCACGCCAUGAGAUUGCCAGCUAAAUCAAGGAUCUCAAGGCUCGCGUCGAAGAGGAGAGCAAGCGGCGCGAGAGGUAUAAGCUAGACAAUAUAACCUCAAACCAGGGACCAUAGAUAUGGACCCUCGGCUGCCUCUGCUCUUUGCCGAGGCCAGGGGUUUAGUGGCCAUUGAUAGCCAGAGGGAUAAGAUCAUCAGAUUGUUGAUGGAAAGGCAAGGCUGAGCUUAAAGUGGUUCCUAUUGUUGGAUGUGGAGGAUUGGGGAAGACAACUCUUGCAAGGGAAGUGCUUCACAAAAUUGGAGGAGAUUUUCAGUGUCGAGCUGCGGUGUCAGUGUCACGCACCCUCGAUCUCAAGAAGCUUUUGAAGGAUAUGCUCUAUCAAGUUGAUGAAUAUGAGUAUGUCAGUCAGAGAUGUGGGAUGAAGAACAACUAGUGCGUAGGCUCAGACAUGUCUUGAGUGGAAGGAGGUUGAGUUCUAUGUGGUGUUCCCAUCUAGAAUUGGAGGUAUGGAAAGCUUAGAGGAGCUGUCAAAUGUCUACUAUUGCAACAACCAGGUAGAAUUUGUGGAGCAGCUUGGCAAGCUGACCAAACUGAGAAGACUUGAGAUGGGUUAUCAGCAACUUGUGGAGAAGUGUGACGAUAUUUUUGUGUCAUCUCUCAGCAGGUUGGAAAAACAUGGCCUUCAAUCCCUAAGCAUGAACUGUGAAGAUCCCAUGCUGAAUUCGUUGAUGGGCUCAAACUUGACACAUCUCUGAGAGCUAAACAUAGGCAGCAUGAUCUCUCGGGUUCCAAACAGCCUUACAGCUCAUUCCAAUCUCAUUGAACUAUCGAUCAACAUUGCAUGAUGCAGCAGGAAGAUAUCUGGAACCUCAGUGUUUUACCAGCUCUGCUAUGUAAACUUUUGUUAUCAUAUUCCACUAGGGAAGAGCUCAUCAUGGGUGAUAAGGGAUUCCAACAUCUCAAGGAGCUGUCCAUCCGUUGUGAUGGGGGAGGAACAGGUGUCCUGUUUGCACCAUGUGCUAUGCCACAACUCCAACAUCUUUCUUUUGCUUUCAAGGCGAGGGGAGUAGCAUCCAAGGAUAGUGGUGUUGAUACUGGCAUUCAGCAUCUCUCCAGCCUCAGAGAGGUUGAUAUCUUAGUCGGCUGUGACGGCACCACUAGGUACAACGUCAUGGCUGCGGAGGCUGCCUUGAGGAGCGCGGUCAACAUCCUGCCCAAUCGCCCCAACCUUGGAAUCAAGAGGUACUGGGAUUUGAUGGAACCUUAUGGGGGCAGCAACUGGAGGGGGUAGGGAUGGCAAGAAGGCAUAUUGGAAGGUCGGAGAGCACCUCGCUCACAUCGCCGUCCUCACUGGAUACCGUUUGGAACACUAAAUUCUGAUGACAAGCGGGCGGGCUGAUAAAAUCAGAGCUAAUGUUAGCAGUGGGGAUUCCAGAGCAAGUUGAAGCUCAAUCAAUUUCAGGAGCUUCUGACGGGAGGUUCCUACUUCCUGGCAUUUUGUUCCUUACCAAGCCAGGUCAUUAAUCUGUUGAUCAAAGAGAAGACUUGAUGUUAUCGAACUAGCCUUGUUGCUAAAAGGUUUCCUUUUUCUGCCGAUAUGUAACUGGAAUGGCUUUAUGUUCUUCCUUUUUGUACUUCAUGAAAUAUCUGGGACCCUCUUGGUCUCUGCAGUUGAGUUCAUAAGAUCAAUUUCUCGUCUUAACAUGUCAAUACUUUCUAGCAUCGGUACAGAAUUCAUAUGGUCGUAGCCAAAAGGGUGAGAUUGGCAAUGACAUUUUUCAGAAUGUAAUUAAUCGCUCAAAGUCAGUCGGGGUUUGCUUUC